rnacentral:rRNA from 1 species
UACGUAGGGGGCAAGCGUUGUCCGGAUUUAUUGGGCGUAAAGAGCGUGUAGGCGGUUUGGUAGGUCCGUUGUGAAAACUCGAGGCUCAACCUCGAGACGCCGGCGGAAACCAUCAGGCUAGAGUCCGGAAGAGGAGAGUGGAAUUCCUGGUGUAGCGGUGGAAUGCGCAGAUAUCAGGAAGAACACCCGUGGCUAAGGCGGCUCUCUAGUACGGUACUGACGCUGAGACGCGAAAGCGUGGGGAGCGAACAGG